rnacentral:lncRNA from 1 species
AUCUAUUAGUAAAAUUCUCCCAAUUAAAAUUCGGUAAAUGAUAACCUAAAGGUAGAUGGAAAAACAUCAAAAUAGUAUAAGCCCAUUUGAGAAAAACAAAGGGAUUAGUUGUUAACUUCAACCACAAAAUCCCAUGGAAUCAAGUGUUGUAAAUACCAUGGAUAAAAAAUAAUUCAUGAUUUUGCUGACUUGGUUGAGUAUUCUAGACCUGGAUAUUGAGUGUUUCACUUGUACUGCUUCUUGCUUCUUCAUCAACCAAUUCCAGCUAUAUACAUACUCACAACCUGGAGAACAAUGAGCUUAUCCAUGGAUAUGGCUCUCCCAUUUCAGUAGUGGCCCUCGUUUCUUCUUUAAACAAACAACACUAGAUCGUGAUCAAAUUUUACAAAGCAUAUAAAUCGUGGCCUAAGGCUACAACACACAAAAAAAAAUGCCUCUUAAAUAUUUUGAAUUUCAAACAGAAAACAGAAGGAACUUGUGAUGUUCACAGAUGAUUAGAUUUGAAAAGUAGUUAAUCCCUAUAGAUUAUCCCAAAGGGAAAAUAAAAACUUUCCAGCCAAACCAAGAUGCUUUGUCCUGUGAGAACACUGUCCAGCAAUUAGGUUCUUGAAUGACUGAUGUAGUGCCCCAUUUGAAGAUUGGGGUCACAGUUUCAAAUGUAAAAUCUCUAAUUGGCCCUGCCAGCUCCAGGUAACAAACUUGAAAGAGAGGGAACCCCCUGGUUUCUCAUUUCCUCUUGUGCCCGCCUCAUUUCUUCGGGAUCUGAGGCCAAAACAAAACAGAUGGACGUGAUCAGUAAAAGACCCAGAACCAUCCUGACAAAAAUUAUCC